rnacentral:lncRNA from 1 species
AAAUGUUUUCCAGUUCACUUUCAAACGACAUAACAAACUCAUCGAAUUGAGCUUCUAUGCUAGAGAAAUUUUCGCCAGCAUCAAGGUCAAACGUAUCUGGAAGCAAGUCAGCUACAUUGCUGACAUCAAAUUCAUCAUCUCCACCAUUGUCAUAAAAGCCAUCCUCGUCUUGAUGCUGGCUGAGCCAGUAGUUGUGGUACCAUGUGGAGGUCGUGAUCAGCUGCCACCAUUCGGGGGAGAAAUCCUCCACUUGGCGAAAAGCAGCCGGAAUGAAGAGUGGGGCAUUGG